rnacentral:rRNA from 1 species
AGUGAACGCUGGCGGUAGGCCUAACACAUGCAAGUCGAACGGCAGCACAGUAAGAGCUUGCUCUUACGGGUGGCGAGUGGCGGACGGGUGAGGAAUACAUCGGAAUCUACUUUUUCGUGGGGGAUAACGAAGGGAAACUUACGCUAAUACCGCAUACGACCUACGGGUGAAAGCAGGGGAUCUUCGGACCUUGCGCGAUUGAAUGAGCCGAUGUCGGAUUAGCUAGUUGGCGGGGUAAAGGCCCACCAAGGCGACGAUCCGUAGCUGGUCUGAGAGGAUGAUCAGCCACACUGGAGCUGAGACACGGUCCAGACUCCUACGGGAGGCAGCAGUGGGGAAUAUUGGACAAUGGGCGCAAGCCUGAUCCAGCCAUACCGCGUGGGUUAAGAAGGCCUUCGGGUUGUAAAGCCCUUUUGUUGGGAAAGAAAAGCAGCAGGUUAAUACCCCGCUGUUCUGACGGUACCCAAAGAAUAAGCACCGGCUAACUUCGUG